rnacentral:rRNA from 1 species
GAUACUUAGUACGGCGAGUGAGCGGUAAAAGCUCAAAUUUGAAAUCUGGUACUUUCAGUGCCCGAGUUGUAAUUUGUAGAAUUUGUCUUUGAUUAGGUCCUUGUCUAUGUUCCUUGGAACAGGACGUCAUAGAGGGUGAGAAUCCCGUUUGGCGAGGAUACCUUUUCUCUGUAAGACUUUUUCGAAGAGUCGAGUUGUUUGGGAAUGCAGCUCAAAGUGGGUGGUAAAUUCCAUCUAAAGCUAAAUAUUGGCGAGAGACCGAUAGCGAACAAGUACAGUGAUGGAAAGAUGAAAAGAACUUUGAAAAGAGAGUGAAAAAGUACGUGAAAUUGUUGAAAGGGAAGGGCAUUUGAUCAGACAUGGUGUUUUUUGCAUGCACUCGCCUCUCGUGGGCUUGGGCCUCUCAAAAAUUUCACUGGGCCAACAUCAAUUCUGGCAGCAGGAUAAAUCAUUAAGAAUGUAGCUACUUCGGUAGUGUUAUAGCUUUUUGGAAUACUGUUAGCCGGGAUUGAGGACUGCGCUUCGGCAAGGAUGUUGGCAUAAUGGUUAAAUGCCGCCCGUCUUGA